UUCAGGCAAAACAAAUAAAUCUUCCUGGAUAAGAGCUGACAUGGAAUACUCCUGUCUUUUCACGUAGCCUCUGGAACUCCAGCUUCCAGGAAUGUGGUUUACUGCUACGAUAAGAGUUCUGUUACUCACAGUGUGGGAUAUGUAGACCAAAUGAAAUACAGCUUACGAUGCUUAAAAAUCACAGAACUACACAACCAUUUAGGUUGGAGAAGACCUUUAAGUUCAUCCAGUCUAAACUUUCCUGGCACAACUUGAGGCCGUUUCC